rnacentral:lncRNA from 1 species
AACCACAUUCUUUCAGGUUUGUGUAUCAUCAGGAAUAAACAUUUUGCAAUGGCACCUAAAGUUAACAGUUCUUUAGAUCAGUGGUCUCCAAAGUGGGGUGCGUAAGACAAUCCAUUGGGGUGUGGGAAGAAAAUAUUAGAACUUCUAUUUAGAUGUAUAUUUAUAUAAAUAUACAUAUAUUGGUGGUGCGUGCUCAAAAAUUGUUUACUGAUAGGGGUGCGCGAAUAUAAAUAUAUUGGGGUGGGUGCUCAAAAAUUUUUUACUGAUGGGGUGUGCGAUCAAAAAAGUUUGGAGACCACUGCUUUAGAUAAUGCAUCAACCAGAAUAGAACGCAGCUUAGCCAGUUGCAACUCUAUUAGCUUGAAAGUGUAAAGAGGAAUAAAAGCCUACCACUUGUCACAAAAAUAAGCAGAGAAAAUUGGAUUCCAUCUGGUUUGACCUAAUCUAGGAAUGGAGUGUGAGAUUCAACUGAAAACUCCAUUCAGUAAACCUGUUGAUGUCUAUGGCUUUACUAAGAAAACCUGAAUUCAGGUGAAUUCUGCAAACUACACUAAGUGUCUUUGCCUAGUUGUGCAACUUGGAAAAAAACAAAGCACUAUUGGCCUCUUCAGAGCAUGAGCAUUUGAUGGCUUUAUGGUGUGUCCAGGGCCAUAUCUUUCUAGAUAUGAUGGAAGAAGAAUACCAACAGAGGAAGCAGUCCUUCUGCUGCUUCAAUAUUGUGACUUGCAGCCUGUCUGAAAGCAUAACAAAGACUCAAUUGUACAACUGUCCAGCUGAGCCAACAAGCAAUGAAUAAGUGAGAGAUGGUCAACAGUGCAAAUCCUGGAUAUCACAGAGGGCAAUUCAAUGGGUGUAUUAUGCUGUGAAAUGAAUAAGGAAGGGUAUGGAGCUGCCCUGUUAUGCCUUGGAUUCCUCAGAAGCUGUGGUAAAUUAGGACUAUGUGGACUCCAUCACUGCUCUCUUCACUGCUUCUUGCUUUGUGCAAGGAUAAACUCAAAUGUUCAGCAGAGACAUUCUGUACUGGAAAAAGCUUGGUCGUCCGUCGUCUGCCCCCCGCCCCGUGAAUUGCUGCAGAUAUGUGAAAUGUCUCUGAGUUUAAGGUAAAAGUAAGCCAUGAACUGUGAUGAUUUGAGAUUGAGACCUAUACCCAGAUGCCACAGUGACAGGCUAUUUUUAUAUACAUGAAUGGAUACAAAUAACCAGAGAAGUGUGAUUCUGACUGAGUUUAUUUUCACUGCUGAGAGUAAUGUCCUCAAAGGCAAGAAAAUCUCCUUGUUAGUCUCUCUAGUUCAUUAAUAGACCCUCCCCCUACUUCAUUAUCUCCUCCCUCUUGUGGUCUCUGCUCUAUCUUUACCCUACUCAUGUAAUACUCUCCUUCUUUGUAUCUGUCCUCCGUUGUCAUCCUUGCUUUUAUGUUGUUUCGUCUCAAAUCAUUUGCUGCUUCCUCUUUUAUUCCUGUCUGGUUUUUUAGUAUUCCUCCAGGGAAUAUUCUCCCUUCUUCGCUUAGAAAAAUGGGCUUCCUAUUCUGUUGCCUUUUCAGGCCUUUCCUGUCGCACCAGCACAGGACUGAGUAGAUCAUAGACCUUCCAAGUUAGUACAAGGGUGCCUCUCUAGGCAGGAGGUCAGAUUUGUUUCCCCCCCAGGCAAACAGAUUGGAUAGAUUAUUAGAGGGGUUUGAAGAAGGCAAGGCACAAGCAGCCCAUGGGCUGUGUAAUGAGUAGCAAGGUUUUCAAGGACUUGUUACCAUAUGUAUUCCUUAAGAACAGCAUAGUCAAGUGAGGCCUUUACAUGUAUGUACUCACUGUGUUACAUUGUUUAUGCCAGCUUUGUAUUUCUAUUUGAAGUAUUUAAAACAAAAUCCCAGAUCUGAAUUUGCCUUUAGUAUAGUUUCUGAUUUGGAUCCCAACUUGACAGCUUGCUUCUGCCAGUAAUACCUGCCAUCUAAAUACUACCAUCUUUUGGAGAAAAUUGAAAGCCAGACCUAAUAUUGAGACCACCUCUCUUAAUCUGUAGAUUUUGUUUUCUCCAAAUCUGCACAUUUGAGUACUGGAACAAAUCACUCAGCAUCUCUCCAGAGUGCCCCCUUUCCUGCAGCUUCCGUUCC